GGAUAACCUACCCUUAGGACUGGGAUAACCCUGGGAAACUGGGGAUAAUACUGGAUAGGCAAUUAUUCCUGUAAUGGUUUUUUGUUUAAAUGUUUUUUCGCCUAAGGAUGGGUCUGCGGCCGAUUAGGUAGUUGGUUAGGUAAUGGCUUACCAAGCCUUUGAUCGGUACGGGUUGUGAGAGCAAGAGCCCGGAGAUGGAACCUGAGACAAGGUUCCAGGCCCUACGGGGUGCAGCAGGCGCGAAACCUCCGCAAUGUGAGAAAUCGCGACGGGGGGAUCCCAAGUGCUAUUCUUAACGGGAUGGCUUUUCAUUAGUGUAAAGAGCUUUUGGAAUAAGAGCUGGGCAAGACCGGUGCCAGCCGCCGCGGUAACACCGGCAGCUCUAGUGGUAGCAGUUUUUAUUGGGCCUAAAGCGUCCGUAGCCGGUUUAAUAAGUCUCUGGUGAAAUCCUGCAGCUUAACUGUGGGAAUUGCUGGAGAUACUAUUAGACUUGAGAUCGGGAGAGGUUAGAGGUACUCCCAGGGUAGAGGUGAAAUUCUGUAAUCCUGGGAGGACCGCCUGUUGCGAAGGCGUCUGACUGGAACGAUUCUGACGGUGAGGGACGAAAGCUAGGGGCGCGAACCGGAUUAGAUACCCGGGUAGUCCUAGCUGUAAACGAUGCGGACUUGGUGUUGGGGUGGCUUUGAGCUGUCCCAGUGCCGAAGGGAAGCUGUUAAGUCCGCCGCCUGGGAAGUACGGUCGCAAGACUGAAACUUAA
rnacentral:rRNA from 1 species